GAUGAAGAACGUAGCGAAAUGCGAUAAGUAAAGUGAAUUGCAGAAUUCAGUGAAUCAUCGAAUCUUUGAACGCACCUUGCGCUCCUUGGUAUUCCGAGGAGCAUGCCUGUUUGAGUGUCAUUAAUAUAUCAACCUCUUCAGCUUAUGCUUGUUGAGUGUUGGAUGGUGGGGGUUUGCUGGUGUCUUAUGAAGUCAGCUCCUCUGAAAUGCAUUAGCGGAACAAUUUGUUGACCGUUCAUUGGUGUGAUAAAAAUAUCUACGCUAUUGACGUCAGUCAGUUCAGCUUCUAACAGUCCAUUGACUUGGACAAAUUUUUCAUUAAUGUGACCUCAAAUCAGGUAGGACUACCCGCUGAACUUAAGCAUAUCAAUAAGCGGAGGA
rnacentral:misc_RNA from 1 species